UACGGAAGGGGCAAGCGUUGUUCGGAAUCAUUGGGCGUAAAGGGCGCGUAGGUGGUUCUGUAUGUCUACCGUGAAAGCGUACGGCUCAACCGUAUUUUGUCGGUGGAAACUGCAGGACUUGAGGCUGGGAGGGGGCUGGUGGAAUUCCCUGUGUAGCGGUGAAAUGCGUAGAGAUGGGGGGAGAACACUCGUGGCGAAGGCGGCCAGCUAGACCAGUUCUGACACUGAGGCGCGACAGCGUGGGGGAGCAAACAGG
rnacentral:rRNA from 1 species